CCAAGGAGCCGCGCCCCAUCGGCUCCCCAACGGAAAAUCCUCUGCGCAUGCUCAUAAACCUGCCCUCCUAGGAGACCUGAAAGCUGCUUCCGCUAAGCGGGGCUGGAGACCCUACCACUCACUCAGGGAUCCUGCUGUCUGAAAAUGUCCAGAGGCACCAUCUCUGCUAUGAAGAGGGAAAGCCAGUACAACAGCCACAAGGCGUCUUCCUGUAGCCACCAAAGAAAAAACGCCGCAUUUCAGCACCUGGCCCUCUCCAAACGGCUGCGUUGGAGAGAAAGGUAGAGGGGCAGAAAAGCCCGGGAGAAACCACCUGUCAUUCUUGAAGAAAAAGAUGCUCUGGGCCGGGCGCGGUGGCUCAUGCCUGUAAUCCCAGCACUUUGGGAGGCUAAGGCGGGUGGAUCACGAGGUCAAGAGAUCGAGACCAUCCUGGUCAACAAGGUGAAACCCCGUUUCCAUGAAAACUACAAAGAUUAUCUGGGCGUGGUGGUGCGCGCCUGUAGUCCCAGCUGCUCCGGAGGCUGAGGCAGGAGAAUUGCUUGAACCCAGGAGGCGGAGGUUGUGGUGAGCUGUGCCAUUGCACUCCAGUCUGCGUAAUAACAGCAAAACUCCGUCUCAAAAAAAAAAAAAAAAGAUGCUCUGGCUUUCCCAAUUUGGUUGAUGGGAUGGAGAAUCAACCCUUACAGAAAGACACCAUCAAUUCCAGAGAGGACGCUGUGCCAGUCACAUUUCUGCACUUUAUGAGACGUUGAAAUCUCCAGAAGUUGCCCAAGGUUUUCAAGCUAACAUCGGAGAAGUGGCUCUGGAUCCCCGAGGACUCAAACAGGAGCUGCAAUCUUGGCUCCACCACUCUCUGUCCAAAACAUCUUGUGCGUCUAUCCGGUUAUAGUGUGGCCUGCGAGAGAAGUUUCUUUAGGGGGAGGUGUAUUUAAAAAAAAAAAAAAAAAAAAAAAACAGGUCCUACCAACACAUUAAUACUUUAAAUUUCCCUCUUUAUAGUAGGUUGAAACGUCAGGUAGUACCUCUUAAGAACAAUGGCUGAUCCAUAUUUUUCCUCCAAACUCACAGUUUUUUCUACCAUUUCAGAAGCUGCCUGAGGACUAAGCUCUAAUUUUUUUUUUUUUAAUCUUGCCCACAUCCGUAAGGGGUCUGGGGAAUCAUGCCCUACAAACCAUAAAUUCUCAUCAGAUGGAUUUUAACCCUAUGUAUGGUGACUGGCUUUCCAAGCUGAUUCUGGCAUAACAUUAUGUGACAAGGAAGAAAGUCAAAAUAUUCUACCCCAGGCCAGGUACUGUGGCACACACCUGUAAUCCCAGCACUUUGGGAGGCUGAGGCAGGCGGAUCACGAGGUCAAGAGAUUGAGACCAUCCUGGCCAACAUGGUGAAACCCCAUCUCUACUAAAAAUACAAAAAUUAGCUGGGCAUGGUGACACGUGCUUAUAGUCCCAGCUACUCGGGAGGCUGAGGCAGGAGAAUUGCUUGAACCUGGGAGGUUGCAGUGAGUCGAGAUCGCACCACUGCACUCCAGCCUGGUGACAGAGCAAGAUUCUGUCUCAAGAAAAACUAUAUAUAUAUAUAUAUAUAUAUAUAUAUAUAACCCAACAUGUUUCUUUGCUAUAUUUUCAAAUGGUCCUGCAAAGCUGUCCUUUGUGGGGGAAAAUAUGCAUCUGACUCUCCUGAAGAGACUGAGAGUCUAGCAUCUUUUUAAAGGUCUGAAUAGGAAACAUUUGUCUUCUCUCAUCUCUAAGGCAGCCUCUAUGAGACUUCACAAGAACCUUGGUCUCAAUCUUUUAUCUUAACCUGAACAUUUCCUUUCUAUUGAUCCCAGGUGUUCAGACAAUUGUCAUCUCAACCAAUUGUCAAUCAGAAAAUGUUUAAAUUUACCUAUAGCCUGGAAGCCCCUGCUUUGAGUUGCCCCACCUUUCUGAACCAAACCAAGGUAUUUCUUAAAUGUAUUUGAUUAAGUCUCAUGCCUCCCUAAAAUGUAUAAAACCAAGCUGCGCCCCGACCACCUUGGGCACAUGUUCAGGACCUCUUCAGGGCUGUGUCAUGGGCCAUGGUCACUCAUAUUUGGCUCAGAAUAAAUCUCCUCAAACAUUUUACAGAGUUGACUCUUCAUUGACACGCCCAUACCUGAUGAAAUGCUUCAUCAAAAUUCUUAGUGGAUUGGCUAGUUCCGAAAAUGGACCAGCCAGGUUUGCCUGAAUGCAACCUUGCACAGCUAUCUCACUCCUGGUUGGAGCCAACUAGAUCAAGAGACCUGUCCCCAAACUAAUGUACUCCAUGUCUUACGUCUUUUUUUUUUUUUUUUUUUUUGAGAUGGAGUUUCGCUCUUGUUACCCAGGCUGGAGUGCAAUGGCGCGAUCUUGGCUCACCGCAACCUCCGCCUCCUGGGAUCAGGCAAUUCUCCUGCCUCAGCCUCCUGAGUAGCUGGGAUUGCAGGCAGGUGCCACCAUGCCCAGCUAAUUUUUUGUAUUUUUAGUAGAGACGGGGUUUCACCAUGUUGACCUGGAUGGUCUCGAUCUCUCCACCCUGUGAUCCACCCGCACCCGCCUCAGCCUCCCAAAAUGCUGGGAUUACAGGCUUGAGCCACCGCACCCAGCCCUUUUUUUUUUUUGAGACAGAGUCUCUGACCCCCAGGCUGGAGUGCAGUGGCAUGAUCUUGGCUCACUGCAACCUCUGCCUCCCAGGUUCAAGUGAUUCUCCCGUCUCAGCCUCCCAAGCAGCUCGGAUUACAGGCGUGCACCACCACGCUCAGCUAAUUUUUGUAUUUGAAUUAGAGAUGGGGUUUUGCCAUGUUGGCCAGGCUACUCUCAAACUCCUGACCUCAGGUGAUCCACCCACCUUGGCCUCCCAAAGUGCUGGGAUUACAUGUGUGAACCACCAUGCCUGGCCCAUGUGUCUUGGUCUUUAUUACUAAUAUUGAUUAUAAAAUGAAACUUUGGGUAAAAUUUCUGCAUUAGAAUUUCUUUUUCUCUCUGUCCUGAAGCUUGUAACUACUUGCUCAUGAUUUUUUUGUAUGUUUAGCAAUGUGUAUGUAUCAUUGAUGGCCUUUGUAAAAGUAUGUUCAAUGGAGCUGUGGAGACAGAGGUGCAAUUAGAGUAGGUUGUAAGAAUAAAAAGGAGCAGGCAAAAAGACAUGUGUAUACCAAUGGCCUUCAAAGGGUACACAGACUUUCUUCUUAAGGGAUCAAUUCCCAGAUCUUCAGUUUCAUAUAAACUCUUUCCUAAACUUGA